UGAAAAUGGCAAACAGGGGAGUGGAAGUGUAUUUAUUUGAAGGAAAUCUGAGAGGGGCAAUGUUGGUAAUUUCGCAUGGCUGCGACUUGCCUCUGCCAAACCUGGCUUCACCAAACAAUACUGUGUUCCUCAGCUUCUUCUUCUUUUGGUGGCGGUCUUCAUCUUCUGCAACCUGGUUGCCGCCACCUUUCAAUUCUCUCUAACCCUUUCCUUCAAAAUCAACUACGAAAAGACCCUCCUUUUUCCUUCCCUCUUUUUCUCUCAUCCACUGUAAUUCCCUCUUAAAGCCCUUGCCUUGCCUUCUUUCUCAUUCCCACUUCAACCCAAAACCCCAAAAAAGAAAAAAAAAAAGAAAAAGAAAAAAGUUAUAAACUGGCCCUUGUAAAUACCCAAUUUGGCUGAUUUCUUUUUUUUUUUAUUUGCUCCACAUAUAUUAUCAGCUUCAAAUUCGAUUAUUUUUCAAUCGCUAUUAGGAAUUGUGUGUUCUGGGUGGUGUUCGGCAUUUUUCUCGAGUUUUAAAUUUAUGGAUCUGGAGCUUGAUUCUUCGAUUCGAUGUCCUUCGAGGUUUGUCUAUGGCUCCAAGUCAUUGAGUUUCUUGCAUUACAAUAGGCAUAUGAAAUUGCCCGUGAAGAGUUUGCAGGAAAGCAAUAGAUACCCAUUUUGGUUGGCGUCGAAUUGCGUUGUUUCUUGAGGUUUUGGGAGCUUUAUGGGUUCUCCAUAUCAAAGGAAUAACUUGUUUGUUGGUAGAGCUAGUUUGUGAUCUGUUGAUAAACAUGGUGAGAAUUUGGGUGGUAAAAAUGAUCACUCAGCUGUGAAUUUUGAGCUUAUUAGGGAUUUGGUGAAGCAUGGAAUAGUUUUGGCAGCAAUGGUUUGUGGGGCUUUGAUCUAUGGCAGUAAAAGACUUUUGCAGUGGAGGGUGUCGUCAAUGCUGCGUAUGGUGUUGUUGGGCAGAGCAUGUUGUUACUGAGGAAUGCAUGGCCCAAGACAUUACAGGUCCUUUUGGUCAAUUUUUGGGGAAGUAACUGGGUAUUCUGAUUGAUGGAUUCUUAGCAGUUCAGCCAAUGUUAGAGGAGGCUUUAGACCUUCCACUCAGCAAAGCUAUCUUCUGAAACAGAACUCUGCAUUACAUAUGGGGUAUAACUGGUAUUAUGGAUGAGAAUCCAAGUGGAAGUUGAUUUCUUGUUCAACUUUUAAACGUGGUACAUGAGUUGACCCAUUGUCAAAUUUUAUGGCUUUGGAGUUUUGACUAAUUGUUGCAUAUUAUAUUAUAUUAAUAAAUAUGUAUCUCCUUUCAAAGUAAAUAAAUAAAUCUGUAUCCUGUGAGAUUAUCAAUUUUCUAGUAACUCAUGAAUAAGCAAGAGAUCAUGCGUAUGAUUUCCUCUAAUUCUUCACUUUUGAAACUUAAUUUGUGAGUUGUGAAUACUUUAUGCUUAAAUAAACUUUGUUCAUGCAUACAUAAACCUUCCAGACAGUAACAUAGAUAUUAUAAUUAGGCCUUCUCAAAUCUCAUAAAAAUCUUGUAGUGAUGUUCUUUAUAAGGAAAAAAAAUGGGGCACUUACCAUGUGAAAUUCUUUGCCUCCUCGCCUUUCUCUUGCAUUCUCAACUAAUUACCUGUUCUUCUCCAACAACAACAUUAUGUCCUUCUGAUCAAUGCCUUUCUUUGCUCUAACUCAAGAACACUUUUACAUUUGAAACUCAUGUUUCUCACUGUGGGUUUGAUGAUGAAAUUGCUGCUUGUCCAAAGACAAACGCUUGGAAGGGGGGAACAAAUUGUUGCAAUUGGGAUGGGGUCGAAUGUGAAACUGGGACAGGCAAGGCUUCGACCUCAGUUGCAGCUUGCUUCAUGGCCCAUACUAUCCAACAGUAGCCUUUUCCAACUUUCACACCUCAAGAUCCUCAAUCAUGCUUUCAAUCCCUACUAUGCCUCCCAAUUUUGCCUGAGAUUGGAGGUUUUGUGAGUUUGACACAUCUCAACUUGUCUUAUUUUCAUUUGGUUGGUAAAGUCCCAACGGAUAUAUCUCACCUGUCUAGACUUGUUUGACUUGACCUCAGAGAAAAUUUUUAUCGUAUGACUACUAACAACCUUGUAUUUAAAAGGCUGGUUCAAAACCUAACUGAGUUGAGACAUCUUUUUCUCUUCUACACAUAUGUAUUGGAUUGGACCGACUUCUUUGCUCGAUAUAUCAUAUUCGUUGACUUCUUACAGUCUUUCAACUAUGCAAUGACUCUCCUUUUCCAUUCCCUCUCUUUCUCUCAUCCACUAUAAAAUCCGUUGCCUCCUUUCUCAUCCCCACCUUCAAGCUCCCAAAUUUGACCUGACCGAAAUCCCAAAAAAGAUAAAUAAAUAAAUAAAAAGUAAAAACUAUAUAUAUAUAUAUAUAUAUAAACUGGCCCUUGUAAAUGCCCAAUUGGUUGAGUUGCUUUUUUUUUUUUUUUUUACUUAGUUGCUCCACAUAUAUUAUCAGCUUCAAAUCCAAUUCUUUUUCAAUCGCUAUUAGGAAUGUUGGGUUCUGGGUGUUGUUAGGCAUUCUUUUCGAGUUUUAAAUUUAUGGAUAUGGCUCUUGAUUCUUCAAUUCUCAGUCCUUCAAAUUCUGUCUAUGCCUCUGAAUCAUUAGGUUUCUUGCAUUGCAAUAGGCAUAUGAAAUUUUCCAUGAAGAGUUCUUGUUUCUUGCGGUUUUACAUGUUGCCACUUUGUUUGCUUAAUUGCUUAGGGAAAACUAAUCUCCUUGGGUGGAUUGUAUUUAGUACUCCCGAUUACAGAAAAUUGCUGGGGGUUGGUGUUAGUGUCAACUCCUUGGAUCCAUCAAUUGCCUAGAAUUUACGUCUCCUACAUGGAUAUCUGUUACUUUAAUUCUUACGUCUCUUUUGUUUUUGGUGGUUUACCUCCAAUAAGAUAGGCAUACUUGAAGCAUUUGUAUGCGUUUAUAGAAGAGUAUUUUAUGUCUCCAACUGAUGCUAGAUCAUGCAUUUUGUAAAAUUUUAUGUAAGGUAUAAACAUGUUAAGCUGAUGUAAUUCAGCGCUCUUAAGGGUUCCAAGGUUGAUAGCAGUUAAUCAGGCUUCUGAAGGCCACUCUUAUCUGUAUGCUUUGAACUUCCUGUUCUGCGUAACAUGUAGUUGCCACACUCUUUAAUUAUCAUAUUUUUCUGUUUUGUAUGAAUAUGUGUACAUUCUGAAUAAAUGAUUGAUUGGACUUUAAAAGUAAAGUGGAAUUGUAAAAUAAUCAAAGUCUCAUUUACUGUACUCUAGCAGUUUAGCAAUUUUGUAAAUUGAGUUUGCACAUAUUGAUACUCAUAAUCUCAAUCCUAAUUGUGAAUAACUGUUGACAUCAAAAUAAAAAACAGAUUUUUAAGCGGCCAACCUGGAGCUUUGAUUUCGUUAACUAGCCAUUAGUUUUGUAGUUGGGAUAUUCGUCAUGAUUACACUUAUGCAGUUGGAGAGCAAAUCUCUCUGGGUCUCCCUCUAGGCUAGGGUUUUUACAGAGUAAUUUGGAAUGGUCUUGAAGCAAGCAGGAGUUGGAGAACCUGAGUCUGAUCUGGAAUCUGGAAUCUUAAACCAGGUUUGGUUGGAACCAAUGAAGAGAAUUCGCAUUGUUAUUUCAUUUUUUUAGGUGGAUUUUUUUUUUAUCUGGAAGUCUGGGUGUUCGUUCUGGGUUCUUAGUGUCUUCUUUUUCCUUUUCUUUGGAAUUUAAUUUAACAGUUUUUAUACGAUUUUGAUUAUUGCUUUUUGUAUUCUGAAUUUUUAUUUUUUAUUUUUUUUUAUUUUUUUCCAUCAGGAAAUCUGGGUGUUCUUGACUAAUUCUUUUACUUUUUCUUUGAGAUUUAAAUUUUUAUACUAUUUUGAUUCGUUACAAUAAUUAGUUGUUUCAGAAGGGAUUAUGAUUUCUUUCAAAUAUUAGACCCUAAUUUGAGAAUUGCUAUAUUUCUCUUUUUGUCUUUCCCAAAAAUGAGAAUUUUAUGCAUAGACCCUAAUUUGGGAAUUGCACUUUUUCCUUUUUCUUUUACUUAAAAAAGAAAAAAAGAAAAAAAUUGUAUUCAUAAAGUUCUUCGCCUUUCAACACUUGCUUUCUGUGAUUAUAGUCCCCCAAUUUCAGUGAAUAUAAGGUCAGAAAUUGGUGGUUUCCUUUUUUAAAUCCUUUUGAAUUUUAUAAUUUUCUUCUUCUUUGGCCUAUUUGGUGUCAUUUUCCUUAUUAUUAUUAUUGCUAUUUUUUAUUUUCUAUUCAGGAAGUUGAUAAUCCAAGAUAAUAGAUUAUCUCACAUUUUAAGUUUGUUAUUUCAAAUCUUAUGAGUAAUUAAUUGUUAGAGCAUUCCAAAUGAUCAAGAUACUAACACUUCCCAGGUAUGAAGAUUGUUUUCUCUUGUUGUGUUCAGUUAUAACUCAUACGUUUAUUUGCUUGCUUUUCUAUCUUCAAUUCGUCACACUUUGAAUGGCUAAUUCAUGUCUUCGAGGCACUCUGUUAGGCUAAAUUUCCUCUGUAUCUUUUUGUACUGUCACAGGUGAUAUCAUUUGCAGUAUGUUUCUUUUCUCAAUCUUUGUGAUCAGCUGGAUGUUUCAUUCAUUUGCUAAAUCAAUAAUUACAACAUCAUUUAUUGCAAUGCGUCAUGUCAUAUUAGGUACAAAAGGGACUAGUCGUAUCAUUUGCAGUAUGUUUCUUUUCUCAAUCUUUGUGAUCAGCUGGAUGUUUCAUUCGUUUGCUAAAUCAAUAAUUACAACAUCAUUUAUUGCCAUCCAUUAUGUCAUGCUAGGUACUAAAGGGAAUAAGUAUGCAUUAAGAAUUUCUAGAUUAUAUGCCUCACAAUCAGCUGGAUGUUUCAUUCGUUUGCUAAAUCAAUAAUUACAACAUCAUUUAUUGCCAUGCAUCAUGUCAUGCUAGGUACAAAAGGGACUAAGUAUGCAUUAAGAAUUUCUAGAUUAUAUGCCUUUCACAAGGUCUGUUAUCUGGAUGCAAGUUUCACACAAGUUCAAAUGGACAUUUUGUUAAAAUGUUGAACAGGGUUUGUUGACUUGUAUGUUUUGGAAUAUUGAUUUUCCUGGCUUUUUCCUUAUCAAAUCUAAUUUUUGUGGUUUCUUUCAAUUAAUAUGUUGUUUAAUGUUCUCUUUUAGUAGUUUGUAAACGCUGUUUGAAUGUAUUUGGUUUUUUAUAGAAAUGCUGAAGAUGAUCUGUAUAAUGUUUUGGGUUCAGAGCUUUGGUUUUCAGGGUUAUUUGUCAGUAUGAGCAAUCUAGUAUAAGUGCAAAUGAAGGAUAUAUGUCCGGAUUUGGAUUUGUCUUGAGUGUUAUUCUUUGAGAGCUUGGUUGUUUGGUGGCACACAUGAAGGAGAGUUUGGAUCUGUUUUUCCAUCAACCAAACAAAUAGUCUUAGCAAAGUUCUUCGCCUUUCAAUACAUGCUGUCUGCAAUGUUGGGUUUAGCCGGGUGUUGCCACGCUUACUUUGGUGUGUCUCGCACGCUCAUCAACCAAGGUGUGUACUUGAUGAGAUGUGUUGCCAUUUUAAUUUACAUUUCUAUCUCUACCAUUUUGGUUUGAUAAUUGAAAUAUAUGAAUGAAAUGAGCAGCAUUUUGCAGAGGCAUGUUUCAGAUUUUUAUCUGUAGAGUAAUAUUAUGUAGAGACACCCAGUAAUAUUAUGUAGAGACACCCAGUAUACUGGACAGAGAAAGACGUUAACAUAUCUAAUUAAUUUGAUACUAUCUUUGUCUUUUUUAAGGGUGAGAUUAA